rnacentral:misc_RNA from 1 species
GUGGAAUAUAAGUUACCAAUGACUCUGUGUCAGCCUUCAAUUGGGUUUCUUCGCUCAGUAAUAGAGCAUACAACUCAUCAAAAGUAAUUGAAGCGUUCCUAGAUUCAAUAGCUCGUGCGAAUGGCCGAUAUUCACUUCCCAAUCCAUCAAGGAUGUCGCUAACCAGUGAGUCCUCAGAUACCGGUGAUUGGAGGACAGCUAGUUGAUCAUAUAGUGUCUUGGCCCUUCUCAUAUAUGAGUCAACUGAUUCAACACCUUU